GCCGAAGUGGUGGAACUGGCAGACGCGCUGGACUCAAAAUCCAGUGGGGCUCAAACCCCGUGCGGGUUCGACUCCCGCCUUCGGCACCA
rnacentral:tRNA from 2 species